UGGCGAACGGGUGAGUAACACGUGAGUAACCUGCCCUUGACUUUGGGAUAACUUCAGGAAACUGGGGCUAAUACCGGAUAGGAGCUCCUGCUGCAUGGUGGGGGUUGGAAAGUCUCGGCGGUUGGGGAUGGACUCGCGGCUUAUCAGCUUGUUGGUGGGGUAGUGGCUUACCAAGGCUUUGACGGGUAGCCGGCCUGAGAGGGUGACCGGCCACAUUGGGACUGAGAUACGGCCCAG
rnacentral:rRNA from 1 species